GGUGUUCAGAGUGGAAUAGUGUGUACAUUUGCUGCUGACAGUCGGGACAACGAUGCUGAGGAUGUGGGGGACAAGCAUGACGCAGAAGGAGAGCACCAGCAUUGAUAUCGAGUUGGCCAAGCAACAGUACCAGUCCGGCCUGCAGGAGCCCCAAUACAAAACGAUCCUUUCCCUCCCCUGAUCUCUAGCCCCUCCCACUGGACUUCCGGCCUCAAAGGGUCAGCAUCGUUACACAAGUCUGUUCUGCAAUAAAUCCUCAGCACGUCAAGUUUUCACGCGCUGUUAUGAACAGCCGAAAUGUCUGUGUCGAGAUUUCCCCAAGCAUGCCCGAGUAGUUUUGUUUAGCUCUAGUGCCCGAGUGGGAUGAGUGUUACAGAAGUGAGACGUUAUAGCAGUACUUAUGGCAACGCUAACAGUUAACGCUAACAGUUAGUUCUCGCUGUGGACAUCACAAAGAAUCUCACGAAGGAUUAAACGUUGUAUAGUUUGUUUAAUUCUUUAUAAGACAGCUAUAUAUUCAGCGAGGAACGGGAGCAAAUCAAGGAACAAUCGAAACGAUUCAUUCAGAAGUAUAUCUGCUGUAGAUUGUUAGGACAGUAGAAGCGUUACGGACUGUCCUCAGCGCACAAUAUAUUCAUGCGGUGCGCCUCAGACGCAAAUUCCCCCCAUUAUUGAAAACAAGUUGCUAACAGUAAACACGUCCGGUUUUGCACUCCGAGCCCAAAGGGCAUCGCAUUGAAUUGAGACUAAAGAAGGCUUAAAAACAUGACACCAGUUUUGUUGUAUGGUCCAGUACGCCCUUCGACUCUCAACCCGAAGUUAAUCAGAACUCAAACUCGGCCCUUAACAAUAUCCGCGAGGCCAGCAUAUCAGCUCAGCUUCUGAGCUUCAGGAGAGCACCAGCAUUGGUAUCGAGUUGGCCCAGCAUCAGUACCAGUCCAGCAUGCAGGAGAUCCAGUCAAGGACGACCCUUCCCCUCCCCUGACCACUAACUCCUCACUUUUGACCUGCAGCCUCGAAGGAUCAGCAUCGUUGAACAAUUCUGUUCUGCAGGAAAUUCUCAGCACGUCAAGUUUUCACGGGCUGUUCUCAACAACCGCAAUGUCCUGGUCGAGUUUUCCACACUCAAGCCUGAGUAGUUUUGUUAAAUAUAAGCAGUAGAAAUGGUAAAACUAACAGCCAGUGUGCUUGCUCUGGGACAUCACAAAGAAUAUCACAGAAUACAAAGUUGAAUAACUUGUUCCAUUCAUUAUGGGACCAACAGAAAUUCAGCAAGAAACAGGGCAAAAAAUCAAGGAACAAUUGAAGCGAUUAAUUUAGAAGUGUAGGUUUUCCAAAGUAGAUACUUCUGCUGUUGAUAGUUUUGACAGUAAUAGCGUUAUGGACAUCUCGGUUUGUCCUCUCAGGCGUGUAAACUGUCCAAAGAGAACACGCUUCUGACGCUUUUGCUGACGAAGAAAGGCAGUAAUGACUUGGCUGUGAACACCCAGAGCACAAUACAUCCUUGGGGCAUGCCUCAGACGCAAAUUCCGCUCAAGAUUAUAAACAAGGCGCAAAAUGUGAAUAUGUCUAGCUUUGUUACGAGCACUUCCCACUCCGAGCCCAUAGGCCUCGUAUUGAAUCGAGGCUGAGAAGGCAUUGACAAAUGACAGCAGUUGUGUUGUGUGGUCCAGUAUGCCCAUCGACUCUCAACCCAACGUUAAUCAGAACUCAAACUCGGCCCUUAGCAAUAUCAGCUCAGCUCCUUGAGCCUCAGGACUUGAUGCAAUCCUUGAUUGGUACCCAGCUUAACAACAGGCUCUCUGGUCAGCUGGGCCCAGACGCCCAGAGACAUUUCCUGUGCAUCGGGGGUAGUUGGCUCUUGGCGCAAGACCUCGGGGCAAAUGCUCAACGAUUACUUCCCACAGGGUGCAGCCAGUCUAAACCUGGGGUUUCAAACUUUCCUGCCUAAGGGCCCAGAUUAUCUCAUCCACAAGGCACACAUUUCUGGGAGGCGCUAAGACCAUUUUAUCUGUUCACAGAGGCUUAUACUCACAAGUUCAGGCCCAGAGAGAAAUGUCCCCAACUACAACUUAGCCCCUACAUCUCAAUAGGAGAGCACCAGCAUUGAUAUUGUGUUGGCCCAACAACAGCACCAGUCCGGCAUGCAUGAGCCCCAGUCCAGGACAACCCUUCCCCUACCCUGAUCCAUAUCAUCUCCCCCAAGACCUCCAGCCUCAAAUUCUGAACACAUCCAGUUUUCUUGCACUGUUCUCAUCAACCGCAAUGUCCUCGUCAAGUUAUCCACUGUCGAGCCCGAGUAGUUUUGUUUAGCUUGAGUGUCCGAGUGGGAAGAGUGUUACAGACACAAGAAGUUAUAUCAGUAGUUAUGGUAAUGCUCAAUCAACAGUCAGUUCUUGCUGUUGGACAUCACUGUGAAUAUCACGACGAAUGAGAAGUUGAAUAACUUGUUCCAUUCGUUAUGGGACAAACACAAAUUCAGCGAGGAACGGGACAAAAAAAUCAAGGAACAAUUGAAGCGAUUAAUGCAGAAGUGUAGGCUUUCCAAAGUAGAUACUUCUGCUGUUGAUAGUUAGGACAGUAGUAGUGUUACGGACCGUCUUGGUUUGUCCUCUCAGGCGUCUAAACUGUCCAAAGGGAACAUAAAGCUUUUGACGCUGUUGCUGAUGAAGAAAGGCAGUAGUGACUUGGCUGUGAACACCAAGAGCACAAUACAUCAAUGGGGCAUGCCUCAGACGCAAAUUGCGCCCAAGAUUGUAAACAAGGUGCAACAUGUUAACAUGUCUAGCUUUGUUACGAGCACUUGGCACUUGUAUUGAAUCGAGAAUAGAGAUGGCUUUGAAAAAUGACAGCAGUUUUGUAAUGUCGUACAGUACGCACUUCGACUCUCAACAGAGUUAGUCAGAACUCAAACUGGGGCCUUAGUAAUAUCAGCAAGUUGUAGAGACGCUCAAAGUGAAACAAUUGUUCCAACAGAUAGAACAGGCUUUGAUUGACUCGUCCGUAAAUGUGACUGGCCUUAAUAUGUUGCUCUCGAAUAAUGUGAACCUCACCAGGAGAGCUGUCUGCGAUUGACGCCAUUCAACAACAGUUGUUGUCGGGAAUUCCCGGGUUUGGGUUGGUGACUUAGGUGUCGGGACUCGCUUCAUCUCUGCAUAUGGCACGGUCGCAGCAGCAGCAGCAGCAACAAGAACAGCAGUCGCUUCUGAGUCCGGACAAAGAUGCUGAGGAUGUGGUGGACAAGAAUGACCUGAAUACGUAGAAGUAGAGCACGAGCAUUGAUAUCGAGUUUGCCCAGGAACAGCACCAGUCUGCCUGAAGAAUCCCCAGUCCAGGACAAUCCUUCCCCCCCCCUGACCCCUAGCUCCUCCACCCUGACCUCUGGCCUCAAAGGGUCAUCAUAGUUGAACAAUUCCGUUCUGUAGGAAAUUCUGAGAAUAUAGAGUUUUCAAGCGCUGUACUCAACAACCGCAAUGUCUGUGUCGAGUUUUCAACACUCCAGACUGAAUAGUUUUGUUAAGCUUGAGUGCCAGAGAGGGACAGACACAAGGAGUUAUAGAAGUAGUUAUGGUAACACUAACAGUCAGUUCUUGCCGUAUGACAUCACAACGAAUAUCACGAAGAAUAAAAAGUUGAUUAAUUUGUUCCAUUCUUUAUGGAACAAACAUAAAUUCAAGGAAAUUGUUACAUUUAAAGCGAUUUAUUAACAUGUGUAAGCUUUCCAAGCAGGAUACUUUUUCUGUCUAUAGUUUGGACAGUAGUAGAGUUACAAAUGCGCUUUUGAUGCUGUUGCUGACAAAGAAAGGCAGUAACUACUUCAUUGUGAACACCCAGGGCAUGAUACACCCAUGGGGUGUGCCUCAAAUGUGAAUUCCGCCCAAUAUUGUAAACAAGGUGCUAAAAGUAAACACAUCCGGUUUUGUUACGAGCUCUUUGCAAUCCAAGCCCAAAGCACAUAGAAUCGACGCUAGAAAAGGCUUUGAAAAAUGACAGCAGUUUCGUUGUGUGAUCCAGUAAGGACUUCGACUCUGAACGACGUUAAUGAGACCUCAAACUUGACCAUAGCACUCACAGCGAGGCCAUCAUGUUAUCACAGCUUCUUGAGCUUCAGCAAACAUUAUUAGCCAACAAGAUGAAAACAUCAUUGAAGUGAAAGUCAAAAACAAUCCUGACUACCUUCGGGCACAAAUACUACAACUUGCUGAAGAAAUUCAGCACGAAUAUGUCUUGCGUCAGCCUAGCACGCCUCCUAUUAACUCUUCCAACAGCGGAGCCUUGGUGAGUUUGACUUCCGUCCAAGGUUCGAUGUUGCUUAGCAACAAUUAGAUGCUUGGUAUCAACAAAUUGUUCCGUACGAGUCGCUCGAACGUAUACGAUCUGAUCCAACAGAUAGAGCAGGCGUUGCGAGACUGGUCUGUUAAUGCGACUGACCUCGAUAUAUUGCUUUCCAAUAAUGUGAACCUUAUGCCUGAAGAGCAGUAUGCGAUUGACACCAUUCAACAACAGUAGUCGGGAAUUCCCGGGUUUGGGGUGGUGACUUUGUCGUCGGGAGUCUCUUUCUAUUGCCUGGUCGCAGAGGCAGCAGCAACACGAACAACAAGUAUUAUUUGAGCGAUGCUCUGUGCUAGUUCCUAGCAAUCAUAGAUCGGUACCCUGCUGAAAAACAGGAUCUCUGGUCAGCUGGGCCCAGAUGCCCAGCAAUACUUCCUAGCCCAGGACCUUGGGGCAAAUGCUCAACAUGUCCUAUCUGCAUGGUGAAGCCAGUCUAAACCUUGGGCUCCAAACUUUCCUGCUGUGGAGCUGAGAUUACCUCAUCCAUAAGAGGGCUUAUACUCACAAGUUCAGGCCCAGAGAACAGUGUUCCCCAACUGCAACACAACCAGUACGUCUCAAUAGAGGACACCCUUCCUGAAAACCUCGCUGAGUGCGACUGCGCCAUACGUGACCCUUAAGUGAAAUGAGAUUCCAGGCUGAAUGUCAAACCGGUACUACUCAGGUCUCCAGCAAUAGCCUCAGCCUUGGACGCAGGUUCAUGAUGCACCCGUGGCCUUACUUAUUUCUGAACAUCUCAAUCUCACAGCAAUUGAUGUGAAUUAAUGAUAAUAAGACUCCACAAACCACGUUUUGUAGAGGGUAUAUUGGAGUCUAUUUUCUGUUAGUUGUUUAGUCAAUGCGGCAUUUUUUGCAUAUAUUAUAAAAAGAUUUGUAUCAAAUCUAAAUUUCUCAAAGGAUUAAAUUGGAACUUAAAUUGUAUGAAACCAUUGAACAGUAAGUGAUAAGUGGUGAUUUUUUUUGCAUGCAAAGCCCCAUCGUUUCAUUGGCCAAGUCACUCUUUUACCCAGUGUUAUUUUACUUUCAGUAUCUCACCAUACAUGGGAAAUCAGAAGAUAUGAAACUUAUAUUCUAAUCAGGGUUUUAACUAACAUUUUGCCCACAUUUGCGCUGUAACCUAUAUGCAAUUCUGGGUUAUAACUAACAUUGUGUCCACAGUUGCGCAAAGUUGUUUGAAUAGUAGUGUCUAAAAACAAAUAAAGCAUAGUCACUUGCAUCCCUUGUAAUCAAUCAUGUUCAUGAAGGAGCCAUUGUGAAAUAUUAUGUUGCAUUUUGACAAAUUGCCAAGCAUAUGUCUUUUAGCUUAUCUUGUUAAGUGUUUUGCAGUACCAAGCCACGUUGACGCAGCAGCAAAAACAACAGUAGCAGUCUAGUUAAGGGUCACCCCGCAACGUUCAGUGCCUAGCGAUGAAAUCAUCCACCAUUACAUGUAGUUGGUUGAGGGUCGCCCGGUGCCUUGCGAUGAAAACCUCCAACGGGACUGUGACCUUGCCCUUGUACACACCUAAUGGUCAGGACAUUCGAGACUGCAAUGACGAAAUGAGUGUCCUCACUUCAGCAGUGGAGGCCAAUACACAACACGAGAGUUUCCAGCGGCUUACCUUAUCUGAAAACCUGGGUUGCAGAGCAAUGAGUAUGUCCCAGGAGCAUUUGCAGUCACCGUCUCCAGAUUAUGAGAUUCCCAUGCUCCACAACCCUCAGUCUAUGAACAUCAUGCAGAGCGAACCUUGGACGUACCUUGACGAAAUCAAACCAGCAAAUAGGAAGGACAGCCUGCUGCUACCGUUGUUAUCAUAUUAACCCCAUACCGAAAAAGCUCAGAGAUAUAAAGGCUGUUUAAGAUGUGCUUGUCUCUACAUACCCCGUGUCUGGUGUGAACAUGUACAAUUGAAGGUCUCUGCAUACUCCAUGUCUGGUGUGAACAUGUACAAUUGAAGGUCUCUACAUACUCCAUGUCUGGUGUGAACAUAUACAAUUGAAGGUCUCUACAUACCCCAUGUCUGGUGUGAACAUGUACAAUUGAAUGUCUCUACAUACCCCAUGUCUGGUGUGAACAUGUACAAUUGAAGGUCUCUACAUACUCCAUGUCUGGUGUGAACAUGUACAAUUGAAGGUCUCUACUUACCCCAUGUCUGGUGUGAACAUGUACAAUUGAAUGUCUCUACAUACUCCAUGUCUGGUGUGAACAUGUACAAUUGAAGGUCUCUACUUACCCCAUGUCUGGUGUGAACAUGUACAAUUGAAGGUCUCUACAUACGCCGUGUCUGGUGUGAACAUGUACAAUUGAAGGUCUCUACAUACUCCAUGUCGGGUGUGAACAUGUACAAUUGAAGGUCUCUACAUACUCCAUGUCUGGUGUAAACAUGUACAAUUGAAGGUCUCUACAUACUCCAUGUCUGGUGUGAACAUGUACAAUUGAAGGUCUCUACAUACCUCAUGUCUGGUGUGAACAUGUACAAUUGAAUGUCUCUACAUGCCCCAUGUCUGGUGUGAACAUGUACAAUUGAAGGUCUCUACAUACCCCAUGUCUGGUGUGAACAUGUACAAUUGAAGGUCUCUACAUACCUCAUGUCUGGUGUGAACAUGUACAAUUGAAUGUCUCUACAUACCCCAUGUCUGGUGUGAACAUGUACAAUUGAAGGUCUCUACAUACUCCAUGUCUGGUGUGAACAUGUACAAUUGAAGGUCUCUACAUACUCCAUGUCUGGUGUGAACAUGUACAAUUGAAGGUCUCUACAUACUCCAUGUCUGGUGUGAACAUGUACAAUUGAAGGUCUCUACAUACUCCAUGUCGGGUGUGAACAUGUACAAUUGAAGGUCUCUACAUACCCCAUGUCUGGUGUGAACAUGUACAAUUGAAGGUCUCUACAUACCCCAUGUCUGGUGUGAACAUGUACAAUUGAAGGUCUCUACAUACUCCAUGUCUGGUGUGAACAUAUACAAUUGAAGGUCUCUACAUACCCCAUGUCUGGUGUGAACAUGUACAAUUGAAGGUCUCUAUAUACUCCAUGUCUGGUGUGAACAUGUACAA